rfam:Helobdella robusta unplaced genomic scaffold HELROscaffold_26, whole genome shotgun sequence.
GUGGGCUACGGUGACGUCACGCCCGUGGGAGUGUGGGGUAAAUUGGUGGGCACCUUCUGCGUGAUAGCCGGGGUGCUGACUAUAGCCCUGCCCGUUCCAGUUGUGGUUGCAAAU